GGAAGAUGCCGCGCAGGGCGCAAAGCGGUCUUGAAAACCGUGGCAGUCAGGGAUGGCUGAUGGUUCGAUUCCUUCAUCUUCCGCCA
rnacentral:tRNA from 2 species